UACGUAGGGGGCAAGCGUUGUCCGGAAUCAUUGGGCGUAAAGAGCGUGUAGGCGGCCCGGUAAGUCCGCUGUGAAAGUCCAGGGCUCAACCCUGGGAUGCCGGUGGAUACUGUCGGGCUCGAGUCCGGAAGAGGAGUGUGGAAUUCCUGGUGUAGCGGUGAAAUGCGCAGAUAUCAGGAGGAACACCAAUGGCGAAGGCAGCACUCUGGGGACGUGACUGACGCUGAGACGCGAAAGCGUGGGGAGCAAACAGG
rnacentral:rRNA from 1 species